UGGGGAAUAUUGGGCAAUGGAGGCAACUCUGACCCAGCAAUGCCGCGUGAGUGAAGAAGGUUUUCGGAUUGUAAAGCUCUUUAAGUGGGGACGAAGAAAGUGACUGUACCCACAGAAUAAGCAUCGGCUAACUACGUGCCAGCAGCCGCGGUAAUACGUAGGAUGCAAGCGUGAUCCGGAAUGACUGGGCGUAAAGGGUGCGUAGGCGGUUAGGCAAGUUGGUAGCGUAAUUCCGUGGCUCAACCGCGGAGCUACUACCAAAACUGUUUAACUCGAGUGCGGCAGGGGUAUGUGGAAUUCCUAGUGUAGCGGUGGAAUGCGUAGAUAUUAGGAGGAACACCGGAGGCGAAAGCGACAUACUGGGCCGUAACUGACGCUGAGGCACGAAAGCGUGGGGAGCAAACAGG
rnacentral:rRNA from 2 species